UUUUAGGGGCAAUUCAGAAAUGCAGGCAAAAAGAAGAAAAUGAAAAUUAUUCAUAAACCUGCCACUCAAAGAUAGCCACUGUUUAUCAGAAGGUACUUUUUUGUUUGCGUUUUGGGGAUUGACUCCAAGGCCUUCACACUGUGCUACAGCCCCAUCCCUUUUGUUUGUUUGUUUGUUUUUCCUUUUUUUCCUUUUUUAUAUUGAGGCAGAGUCUUGCUAAGCUGUGCAAUUGUCCAGGAUAGGCUCGAAAUUUUGAUCCUCUUGCCUCAGCGUACCAGAGUGCUGAGAUAACAUGCAUGUGCUACCAUACCCAGCUCAGAAAGUACUUUUUAUUUGAUUCCAGAAGAACAUGUAAUUGUAGAUAAAAACCUCAUAUUUUAUUUAUUUCUAGUACAAAUUUGUUGGAUACCAUGGAAUCAAAGAUAAAUAAAAUGGGAGAUAGGGAUGUAGCUCGGUGGUAGAGCACUUGCCUAGCAUACUCAAGGCCCUGGGUUCCAUAAUCAGCACUGAAGAAGAAAAAAGAACAUAAGAUGAGCUAAUGGAACAUUGUGUAAACUUAGUUCUGAAUGAAAGCUUAUACAUGUUUCAAUUUGAUUUGGACUCUAAGGACCAGCACUUACUACAUUAGAUCCUCUUUGCUUCCUCUAUUCUUAGAAAGUACUUCUGCACAUUCAAACUGAUUUGUAGUGACAGAAAGCUAACUAAAACUACCUUAUGGAAUGAAAGGAGAUUUAUUGGUUCAUUUAACUGGUGAGAGCAGAGGUGAAACUAAUUGCAGGGUAAACUAAAUUCAGGGAUUUAAUGUUAUCUUGCUUUCCAUUUCUCCUUUCCUAGAUUUAUUUCCUCCCGCCUAUAGGCAUUAGGAGUCAAAGUCACAGGCAGUUCCAGACUUAAAUCAUCUCUGUGAUCUUAGAGAUUGGCAGGUUGGCCAGGCCUGAGUCAGGUUAUCUUCUUGUGGUCUUAGGGAUAGUGCACUGUCUUAAUUCCCUUUCUCAUUGCUGAGACAAAAUACCCAACAGUAUCAGCCUCCAAAAUGCUGGGAUCACCAGCAUGCACCACUAUACCUAGUGUGAGACUUUUUUUUUUUUGAGACUAUUAAGAGAUUAAGUCUCACUGUGUUGCCCAGGCUCUUCUGGAACUCCUGUGCUCAAGUGAUCCUUCUGCCUCAGCCUCCUGAGUAGCUGGGAUUACAGGUGUGUACCACCAUACCUGGCUUACAGCAGUGUUUUAAGUUACCUAAAGUUAAAGCUUAUUUUCCCAAAACUGAUUUUGCAGUAGCAUAAAAAAUUUUAUUAUGAGAGUAUAUCUAGCUAGCUGAAGAGAACAGAAGGAAGUACACUAGUAAUACUAAUUUUCAUAUAAUUUGCUACAGACAGAAAUGCUUUAAAAGGUGCCUUAAUAUUUUAUAAAAACUAAAUUUUGUUCCUUUGAAUGAAUAAUCUCACUCUGCAGAACCUAGAAAUAAAAUGAAAGUCACCCUCAAUGUCCCAUUGUGCUUCAAUAUGUGAAAAGAAAUGCUUUAAAUAUCAUAGAAGGAGAAGUAUUAACAUGGUUACCCUAACACCAAUACCCUAAAACUUCUUUUUGGUUGUUUUCUUGAGACAGGGUCUCACAUUAUAGCCCAGGCCACCCUCUACCUGCCUUAGCCUCCUGAGUGCUGGGGUUACAAGUGUGUACCACCACACCUAGCCUGAGAUCCUAAAAUAUUUUUGUCAUACAAUUUCUGUAGGAACAUUAAGGGUGCCUAAUUCAGGACAGUAAAACUCAGCUUCAUCUUACCUCAGCAUUCCUUUAGUCCUGCACACCUUGUCUAUCUCUCCUGAUAUCUACCCCCCCCACCCCAUCAAACAUGGCACAUACUGUGAUCCCAGCUACUCAGGAGGCUGAGGCAGGAGCAAGUUCUAGGCCACCCUAGGCAACUUAGAGCCUGUUUCAAAAUUUAAAAAGGGCUAGGGAGGUAGCUCAGUGUUACAGUGCCCCUGGGUUCAACACACAGUAACACACAACACACACAGUAGUUGUGCACACCUAGUAGGCUGAAGCAGGAGGAUCACAAGUUCUGGGCCAGCCUGGGAAUUUUGAUAAGACUGUGUCUCAAAAUGAAAAUAGGACUAGGAUGUAGCUCAGCAUUCUCUAGGUUCAGUACCUACUCAGUACCAUGAAAACCAGCCCCUUCCAUUAGGGGGCUGUGAGAGGGUAGGGGUGUGGCUCAAUGAUAGAGCACUUGCUAGGCAUGCAUGUUGCCCUGGGUUUAAUCCCCAACACCACGAAAACAAACAUUAAAUUAUCCAGGUAGCAGUUUAUACUUGUCUACUCUUUCCAUGACCUGAGAAAAUAGAGGUAAUUAAAUUUACUCUGGUAUUUUACAUAUUAGAGAAUACUUCAUUUUUUUCCACUUUAAAUGUUUAAAUUAAUCUUAGGGCUGCUGAUUUAUCUCAGUGGUUCCGGUGCUUGCCUCGAAAGCCCAAGAUCCCAAGUUUGAUACCCGGUACCAAAAAAAAAAGAUAAAGAAUAAACUAAUCCCACAUGACUUCAUUCUCUUAAAAAUAAUAAAUAAAGGGCUGGGGAUUUAGCUCAGUGGUUCCAGCGCCUGCCUUGCAAGUGCAAGGACCCGAGUUCAAUCCCUGGUACCAAUCAAUCAAUCAAUCAAUCAAUCAAUAUGGGGGGCUCAGUUUACUGAAAGUCUAAGAUUAUCAAGUUACUCUGCUCAACUGUCCAAUUCAUAGUUUCAAGAUCUGCAAAGAGAGCUCUACCCUUUUUUUUGUGGUAUUGUGGCUUGAACCCAGGGCCACCUUUGUUUAUUUAUUUAUUGAGACAAUGUCUUGGAGGAUUGUCUGAACUGGGCUUGAACUUGCAAUCUUCCUGCUUCAGCCUCCCAGAGGGCGAGGAUUGCAGGCAUGAGUCACCACACCUGGCCAUAGCUCUUCUUUACAUUGAAUAGCAAUUACACCACUGCCCUUAUCCUAAUUUUUUUUAAGUAAACAAAAAUGGCAUUGAUGCACUUUUGGAUUACUUUGUUCUACUUUUUAAAGUAGAUAAAGUGAUAGUAUUCCAAUAACUCAAGAAAAACAGAUUAGAAAAUUAGAAACCAUAGUAACAUAAAACAUUGAAAACUUUUAGCAUAACCAAAUAAAAUUUUAUCAUGAAUAAUUAUACGAAUUACCAGUAUCCAAAAUUCACUGAAGUUAUCCAAUUACAAAAAGGAAUAUUAAAGAGGAAUCAAAUAUCUUAAUGUAUCAAAGGUCUCACAUGGUAUAAUAGUACAGUGAGCAUGCCUUUUUAUGUUCAUACUAACUAAUCAGUUUUAAUUGGUAUAAUUACUACUUUGCUCUUCUACUAUUCAUUGUUGCUGAAUACAUAAUUUCAUCACAGGUUAUAAUUCAUUCUUUGGCAGUAUGUUAGUUGCAAACCCAGCAUUUUCAAUACAUGUUUCCUUUUACAGAAUUUGUAUUAUAAAGAAUGCAGUGUAAAUCCCUCUACUUCAGUGUUUAAAACUUGAUAGUUUCGGCUGGACACAGAGGCCCACUCCUGUAAUACCAGCAUUCUGGGAGGCUGAGGCAGGAGGAUCACAGGUUUCAUUCCUGCCCGGGCAAUUUAGCAAGACUCUUGAAGGAGAGAGAUUGAGAAGGAGGAGGAGGAGGAAAGGAGGGGGAGAAGGAGGAAGUAAAGGAAGGAAGGAAGGGCAACCAAGUGGGGCAUAGUGGUGUACACUUUAGAAUCCUUGCACUCUGGAUUACACUGAGGCAGGAUAGCCACAAGUUCAAGGUCAGCCUGGGUUACACAGAGAGUUCACAGCCAGUGUGAACUACAUUGUGAGACCCUGUCUCAGAAAAAUCAGAGAAGAAAAAUGAAGGAAAAGGCUGUGAAUGUGAUUUAGUGUGAAGGUCCUAAAUCAUCAUUACUCUCUGGGGCAUAACACAUUUUUUGUCUUAAAGGUGCAUAAACAUAGGUGUGUCAAACACAAGUUUAUUCUUUAGAAUAGUUCUAUUGAUGAACUAUUAAUUUUAAUUUUAUGAGUUUUAUGAGUGCUUAACAGGAAAAAAUCACAAAUAUAAAGUAUUUCAUUUUUAAUAUUUAUUGAGUGUUUAUAAAAAAGCAUCAAAAAUUUCAACAUCAACUGGUUUUUGGUGUACAAAGUCUAAAAGAUAACAUUAGAAAUAAAAACCUAUGUGAACUAUAGUGAAAAUACCAAUGGCACGCUAUAAAAAAAAACAACCGGAGCCAGGGAUUUAGCUCAGUGGUUCCGGUGCCUGCCACACAAGCUCAAGGUCCUGAGUUUGAUCCCUGGUACCAAAAAAAAAAAAAAAAAACUUUUACUUCAGUGAUCACACCUAAAUCAGUCUUCAUACAUGACAACAGCACGUUCCAUACACAUGUAUUGUUUACACUGGUAGCACAUGUAUUUUGCUUUCCUGGCCUUUUUGUAGGACAUACUUGACAUCUUUCUGGUCUUGCUGUUUAAUCAGGAGGUUCUUGUAUUAUAGUAUAGUUAACAGGAACAUAAAAUAUCAAUAAAAUGAAGUAUUAAAUUCUUAAUGUGUAUUGUGCGUUUAGAAUAAACAACAUUUUCACAUCAGCUGUUUAGUUGCUUAUAAAACCUAAAAGAUAACAUCAUAAAUAAAAACCUAUGUGAACUACAAUGGAAAUA
rnacentral:tRNA from 1 species